UACGAAGGGGGGCUAGCGUUGUUCGGAAUUACUGGGCGUAAAGCGCGUGUAGGCAGCUGAGCAAGUCGGAUGUGAAAGCCCUGGGCUCAACCUAGGAAGUGCAUUCGAAACUGCUGAGCUUGAGUUCUGGAGAGGAAGGCGGAAUUCUCGGUGUAGAGGUGAAAUUCGUAGAUAUCGGGAGGAACACCGGUGGCGAAGGCGGGUCUCUGGGCAGUAACUGACGCUGAGGAGCGAAAGCGUGGGGAGCGAACAGG
rnacentral:rRNA from 1 species